rnacentral:rRNA from 1 species
AUUGAACGCUGGCGGCAGGCUUAACACAUGCAAGUCGAGCGGAGUGAUGGUGCUUGCACUAUCACUUAGCGGCGGACGGGUGAGUAAUGCUUAGGAAUCUGCCAUUUAGUGGGGGACAACAUUCCGAAAGGAAUGCUAAUACCGCAUACGUCCUACGGGAGAAAGCAGGGGAUCUUCGGACCUUGCGCUAAAUGAUGAGCCUAAGUCGGAUUAGCUAGUUGGUGGGGUAAAGGCCUACCAAGGCGACGAUCUGUAGCGGGUCUGAGAGGAUGAUCCGCCACACUGGGACUGAGACACGGCCCAGACUCCUACGGGAGGCAGCAGUGGGGAAUAUUGGACAAUGGGCGGAAGCCUGAUCCAGCCAUGCCGCGUGUGUGAAGAAGGCCUUUUGGUUGUAAAGCACUUUAAGCGAGGAGGAGGCUCUCCUAGUUAAUACCUAGGAAGAGUGGACGUUACUCGCAGAAUAAGCACCGGCUAACUCUGUGCCAGCAGCCGCGGUAAGAC